GAAAAAGAACCUGAAACCGUGUACGUACAAGCAGUGGGAGCACCUUCGGGUGUGACUGCGUACCUUUUGUAUAAUGGGUCAGCGACUUAUAUUCUGUAGCAAGGUUAACCGUAUAGGGGAGCCGCAGGGAAACCGAGUCUUAACUGGGCGUUAAGUUGCAGGGUAUAGACCCGAAACCCGGUGAUCUAGCCAUGGGCAGGUUGAAGGUUGGGUAACACUAACUGGAGGACCGAACCGACUAAUGUUGAAAAAUUAGCGGAUGACUUGUGGCUGGGGGUGAAAGGCCAAUCAAACCGGGAGAUAGCUGGUUCUCCCCGAAAGCUAUUUAGGUAGCGCCUCGUGAACUCAUCUUCGGGGGUAGAGCACUGUUUCGGCUAGGGGGUCAUCCCGACUUACCAACCCGAUGCAAACUACGAAUACCGAAGAAUGUUAUCACGGGAGACACACGGCGGGUGCUAACGUCCGUCGUGAAGAGGGAAACAACCCAGACCGCCAGCUAAGGUCCCAAAGUCAUGGUUAAGUGGGAAACGAUGUGGGAAGGCACAGACAGCCAGGAUGUUGGCUUAGAAGCAGCCAUCAUUUAAAGAAAGCGUAAUAGCUCACUGGUCGAGUCGGCCUGCGCGGAAGAUGUAACGGGGCUAAACCAUGCACCGAAGCUGCGGCAGCGACACUAUGUGUUGUUGGGUAGGGGAGCGUUCUGUAAGCCUGCGAAGGUG
rnacentral:rRNA from 1 species